rnacentral:misc_RNA from 1 species
UCCCGGUUGGCCCGGGCAGUCUCGUCUGAAAAAUCCAACAGACGACAAGGGUUGCGCUCGUUGCGGGACUUAACCCAACAUCUCACGACACGAGCUGACGACGGCCAUGCAACACCUGUCACUAGGUUCCCGAAGGCACUCCCCUAUUUCUAGAGGAUUCCUAGGAUGUCAAGCCUUGGAUAAGGUUCUUCGCGUAGCUUCGAAUUAAACCACAUGCUCCACUGCUUGUGCGGAGCCCCGUCAAUUCCUUUGAGUUUUAAGCUUGCGCUCGUACUCCCCAGGCGGCAGGCUUAACGCGUUAGCUUCUCAGCGCAAAGGGUCGAUACUUCACACUAAUAGCCUGCAUCGUUUACGGCGUGGACUAC